rnacentral:rRNA from 1 species
UGGGGAAUUUUGGACAAUGGGGGAAACCCUGAUCCAGCCAUCCCGCGUGUGCGAUGAAGGCCUUCGGGUUGUAAAGCACUUUUGGCAGGAAAGAAACGUCAUGGGUUAAUACCCCGUGAAACUGACGGUACCUGCAGAAUAAGCACCGGCUAACUACGUGCCAGCAGCCGCGGUAAUACGUAGGGUGCAAGCGUUAAUCGGAAUUACUGGGCGUAAAGCGUGCGCAGGCGGUUCGGAAAGAAAGAUGUGAAAUCCCAGAGCUCAACUUUGGAACUGCAUUUUUAACUACCGGGCUAGAGUGUGUCAGAGGGAGGUGGAAUUCCGCGUGUAGCAGUGAAAUGCGUAGGUAUGCGGAGGAACCCCGAUGGCGAAGGCAGCCUCCUGGGAUAACACUGACGCUCAUGCACGAAAGCGUGGGGAGCAAACAGG